rnacentral:rRNA from 1 species
UACGUAGGGAGCAAGCGUUGUCCGGAAUCAUUGGGCGUCAAGCGCGCGUAGGUGGCUUCGUAAGUCCGUUGUGAAAGUCAAAGGCUCAACCUUUGAAAGCCGAUGGAUACUGUGAAGCUAGAGUACGGAAGAGGCGAGUGGAAUUCCUGGUGUAGCGGUGGAAUGCGCAGAUAUCAGGAGGAACACCAAUAGCGAAGGCAGCUCGCUGGGACGUUACUGACACUGAGGCGCGAAAGCGUGGGGAGCGAACAGG